rnacentral:rRNA from 1 species
AUUGAACGCUGGCGGCAGGCUUAACACAUGCAAGUCGAACGGAACCUUCGGGUUUAGUGGCGAACGGGUGAGUAAUACCUAGGAAUCUGCCUAUUAGUGGGGGAUAACGGCUCGAAAGGGUCGCUAAUACCGCAUACGUCCUACGGGAGAAAGAGGGCCUCUGCUUGCACGCUCUCACUCUAGGAUGAGCCCACGUCCGAUUAGCUAGUUGGUAGGGUAAAGGCCUACCAAGGCCACGAUCGGUAGCUGGUCUGAGAGGAUGAUCAGCCACACUGGGACUGAGACACGGCCCAGACUCCUACGGGAGGCAGCAGUGGGGAAUAUUGGACAAUGGGCGCAAGCCUGAUCCAGCAAUGCCGCGUGUGUGAAGAAGGCCUGCGGGUUGUAAAGCACUUUCAGUGGGGAAGAACAGAUUCGGGUCAAUA